UAGGGAAUAUUGGUACAAUGGGUGAGAGCCUGAACCAGCCAUGCCGCGUGCAGGAAGACGGCCUUCUGGAUUGUAAACUGUCUUUUAUCGUGGGGAAUAAAAACGCCCAUGCGUGGGACAUUGAAGGUACCAGAUGAAUAAGCACCGGCUAACUACGUGCCAGCAGCCGCGGUAAUACGUAGGGUGCAAGCGUUGUCCGGAUUUAUUGGGUUUAAAGGGUGCGUAGGCGGUCUAUUAAGUCAGUGGUGAAAUCCAACAGCUCAACUGUUGAUGUGCCAAUGAUACUGAUGGACUUGAGUACAGACGAGGUAGGCGGAAUUGACAGUGUAGCGGUGAAAUGCAUAGAUAUUGUCAAGAACACCGAUAGCGAAGGCAGCUUGCUAGCCUGUAACUGACGCUGAG
rnacentral:rRNA from 1 species